rnacentral:rRNA from 1 species
UCCUAAGCUGAGGCCGACAGGCGUAGGCGAUGGAUAACAGGUUGAUAUUCCUGUACCACCAUUAUUCGUUUUAAGCGAUGGGGGGACGCAGUAGGAUAGGCGAAGCGUGCUGUUGGAGUGCACGUCCAAGCAGUGAGAUUGAGUGUUAGGCAAAUCCGGCACUCUUAAGAUUGAGCUGUGAUGGGGAGAGGAACUUGUUCCUCGAGUCGUUGAUUUCACACUGCCGAGAAAAGCCUCUAGCUAGAAUAACGGUGCCCGUACCGCAAACCGACACAGGUAGUCAAGAUGAGAAUUCUAAGGUGAGCGAGCGAACUCUCGUUAAGGAACUCGGCAAAAUGACCCCGUAACUUCGGGAGAAGGGGUGCUCUUUGAGGUUCACGCUUCGAAGAGCCGCAGUGAAUAGGCCCAAGCGACUGUUUAUCAAAAACACAGGUCUCUGCUAAACCGUAAGGUGACGUAUAGGGGCUGACGCCUGCCCGGUGCUGGAAGGUUAAGAGGAGUGGUUAGCGCAAGCGAAGCUACGAAUCGAAGCCCCAGUAAACGGCGGCCGUAACUAUAACGGUCCUAAGGUAGCGAAAUUCCUUGUCGGGUAAGUUCCGACCCGCACGAAAGGCGUAACGAUUUGGGCACUGUCUCAACGAGAGACUCGGUGAAAUCAUAGUACCGGUGAAGAUGCCGGUUACCCGCGACAGGACGGAAAGACCCCGUGGAGCUUUACUGUAGCCUGAUAUUGAAAUUCGGUACAGUUUGUACAGGAUAGGUAGGAGCCUUAGAAGCGUGAGCGCUAGCUUACGUGGAGGCAUUGGUGGGAUACUACCCUAAUUGUAUUGGAUUUCUAACCCGCAGCACUUAUCGUGCUGGGAGACAGUGUCAGGCGGGCAGUUUGACUGGGGCGGUCGCCUCCUAAAGAGUAACGGAGGCGCUCAAAGGUUCCCUCAGAAUGGUUGGAAAUCAUUCAUAGAGUGUAAAGGCAUAAGGGAGCUUGACUGCGAGACCUACAAGUCGAGCAGGGUCGAAAGACGGACUUAGUGAUCCGGUGGUUCCGCAUGGAAGGGCCAUCGCUCAACGGAUAAAAGCUACCCCGGGGAUAACAGGCUUAUCUCCCCCAAGAGUUCACAUCGACGGGGAGGUUUGGCACCUCGAUGUCGGCUCAUCGCAUCCUGGGGCUGUAGUCGGUCCCAAGGGUUGGGCUGUUCGCCCAUUAAAGCGGUACGCGAGCUGGGUUCAGAACGUCGUGAGACAGUUCGGUCCCUAUCCGUCGUGGGCGUAGGAAAUUUGAGAGGAGCUGUCCUUAGUACGAGAGGACCGGGAUGGACAUACCUCUGGUGUACCAGUUGUCGUGCCAACGGCAUAGCUGGGUAGCUAUGUAUGGACGGGAUAAGUGCUGAAAGCAUCUAAGCAUGAAGCCCCCCU